GAUGAACGCUAGCGGCAGGCCUAAUACAUGCAAGACGAACGGUAAGCUUUGUAGCAAUACGGAGCCUAGAGUGUCGUAAGGGUGCGUAACACGUAUGCAAUCUACCCUGUACAGGAGUAUAGCCACCCGAAAGGGGAAUUGAUCCUCCAUAACAUAGUGAGUCGUCAUCGACUUAUUACUAAAACUGAGGUGGUAAAGGAUGAGAAUGCGUCUGAUUAGCUAGUUGGUAGUGUAAUGGACUACCAAGGCAAUGAUCAGUAGGGGAACUGAGAGGUUGAUCCCCCACACUGGCACUGAGAUACGGGCCAGACUCCUACGGGAGGCAGCAGUAGGGAAUAUUGGACAAUGGGUGAUAGCCUGAUCCAGCCAUGCCGCGUGCAGGAAGAAGGCCUUCUGGGUUGUAAACUGCUUUUAUCUGGGGAUAAAAAGGCCUUGCGAGGCAAACUGAAGGUACCAGAUGAAUAAGCCACGGCUAACUACGUGCCAGCCGCCGCGUAA
rnacentral:rRNA from 1 species